rnacentral:lncRNA from 1 species
CAGGAGUUCAAGACCAGCCUGGCCAACAAGGAAUGAUGGAAUAAAGCAUACGAAGUAGAAGGACUGGAACCUCCAGAAAAAGUACUUUAAGUUACCUACAGGUGAUCCUAGUCAGGUAUGAAUUGAUAAGAAAUGCCUGCACCUUCCCUCCUUCCUAUCUUUCCCUUGCCUACAGAAAAUUAAAAGGCAAAACAAUGGACAUCUACAUAUUCUUCAUUCAGAUCAACCAGUGGCUAGCAUUUGCCACCUUUUGCAGUUUCUUUCUCUUUCCAUAAGUACUUUCUUCUCUGAAUCAUUUGAAAGCAAAUGAAAACAGUAGCCUAAAGUGUCAGUUUCAACCCGAAAAUAACAGCUCUGAUUUCUCAUGGCUCACACUCGUCUGAAAUGACUCGGGUAGAGGCUGAGGAAGGCUGUGUUGUUUGUCUACCUGGGACUACACCUACUGAAAGAAGUUCUCAAGUUCUGAUUGAGUUCUAAAAUUCUUUUGAAGAUUGGAAUUCUUCAUAUGUAAAAAGAGAAGAGAAAGACAUUCUUGAUUUUGGUGACUAGAGUUGUAGAUGCUGGAAGCUUUGCCACUAACAUUGAUGAACCAGAUGCAUGUCACCAGCCCAUCACGGUGAUUCUUAAUGCCGGCACCAUGGGCCGGCACUGCCACGUUUUCCAAGGAACCUGCCAGAGCUCCUGCGGAAGCUGCUCCUCGGGCGAUGGAGUCCCUUUGCUGCUAGGCCCUUCUUCAGUCACCACAGGAUGCCUGCCAUUCAUGAACAGGAAGGAGAGGACGGGCUUUGAAUAAAAAACAGGAUCCAGGAAAUAUUUGUGAGGCCAUUUGGACUUCAGUGUGAAAUGGUGUUAAAAGAUGAAGUCAUUUAUUCAAGAAGUAAACCUCUGCCACCUGGACUGUGCUCAGACAUUUCAUUGAUUUUGUUUAAUAAACAUUUUCUGGCUUUGG